rnacentral:tRNA from 1 species
CUUAGGGUAAGCUAAGUUCAUAAGCUAUUGGGCUCAUAACCCGAAUAUGGACCAACAUCCCCUUAAGG